GCCCAGGUGGGGGGGAGGACAAUAGGUCGUCGUCCCCCUCAUUGUUAUUUAUGGCCCCCACCCACCGCUCAGGGGUGGUGGACAAUAGGUCCCCCCAUUGUUAUUUAUGGGCCCCCACCCAUCGCUCAGGGGGAGGACAAUAGGUCCCCACCCGCCGCUCAGGGGUGGGGGCUGGGGGGAGGACAACAAUAGGUCCAAUUUAGGUCUUUCAGCCUUUUGGUAGAUAACUCCCUGAUUCCCACAGUAUUAGGGAGCUAUCUACUAAGCGGCUGCAAGAUGCAGCCGCAGCACGAAUAGGAUCGGAGUUUCAUUCAUUAGAAUAAAAUUCCGAUCCGAACAAAGUCCCGAAUUGCGUUCUAACACGAAUGAAGAAACUGUUCUCAUUCUGUUAAGACGCAAUUCGGCAGUUUGCCGGUGUUCUUUCAGAUUCUGAUAGCGUCAAAAGGAAGUGACGUGGGUAUAGAAUUCUAACAAGGUAUGAGAACCUGAUAGAACACCGGCGUCCUCUCUAUAAUGGCAGGACGUUCGGGAAUACUGACAGGAAGCAUUGCAGGAACAGGGAGGAAAGCUAAGAAUUGUGGGAAAACUUCUGACCACCGGAAACUAAGCACUCUUUGCUCCUCCGCUGGUCAGAGAUGGUCAGGCGUAGGAAACCUCCAUAAGACAAAGUAGGGACUACUUGUCUUAUGUUUUAAAGAAAACUGGAGCAAAUAGGAAGAAACGGAGAACAGAUCCUGAGAGAAGAGGAAUUGUUUAAAGAAGGGUAAGUUUGGCAUGACAGUGCUGCUUUAAGCAAAUAUUACAUAAUUAUCAAAGGAAGCAUAGGUUAAAGGGACACUAUAGUCAACAUAUAAAAGCAAGACAGACCGGUCCCCCAGCCUUCUUUCUUGCUUUUUUUAUGAACUUGCCAUAAAAAAAUAAAUAAAACCUCCGUUCCAGCGCCGAGCUCCCCGCUAGGCCAUGCCCCCAUUUUUGUCAAAAUGACGCUCCUUGAGAAAUGUCAUUGUGAAGCGCAUGCACGGUUUUACGCUGCACCAAUCACAUUCUUCAUAGAGCGGCAUUGAAUGCCGCCCUAUGAAGAAACUCAGCGCUCAACCGUGCAUGUCUGACAGCUCAGCUCGCUUUCUAUACCCGCCCCCCUUCUCUGCCAAACUGUGUUUGCAUAGAAAUAAAAGGAACAAGAUAAGGCUGCGCUAAAUAAUAAAAAUCUAAAUAGAGUCUCUUAACUGGAGUAGGAUCUACUUAGAAUCCAGAGUCCUUCAAGUGCUUGGUCUUGGAAGGUGCUUUGUCCGAGGAGAAGUAUCCUGGCUGCUUGUUCUUCAACAGAGUCGGUAGCUUGGAACGAGAAGAGCAGACAUACAAACCAAAAAUAGUGUAAUAUGACCUAUAUAAUAUAGAAAAUGAUAUAGAAGGAGGUAUUCCACUCACGUGAGGUAGAGCUGUAACUAGCUCUAGUAUAGCAGGCGUGCAGUGGUAUGAUCCCCGCUUGUAGGAUAUAAUGAAGAGUAUGUAGCAGGAUACUGGGUCCGCGAGACGAUGAUGCACUCAAAUACAAAUAGAGAGACAACCAAUAGUGUUGACUGAUAGGAAUAAAAUGAAGAUAAAAGGGUACUCACAAGGAAGGAGCAGGCAAACUGCUCCUUGGAGAUAGCGUCGAUGGUAUGAUCCCCACCUGAGGAUGGUUUGGAGUCCACGAGAUAAAAAUGCCAGGUAAAAAAUUAAUAAAAAUGUGUGUAUAAAAUGUAUAUAUAAAAAGAUAUUGGUACAAUUU